AUGGUUGAUUAAUGAUUAUGAAUCAUUAAAGGAUAACUAUCAAUAUAAUUGAUAAUUAACCUUAUGCAAAAAUUAAAAUUAUGUAAUUCACUAAGUAUCAGUGAAUUAGAAAAAGAUUAAUUAGCAAUUGAAUUGCUAAUUGACUCAACUUGAUUGGAUAAUAAGGUACAGAUUAUUGGAUUUUUAUGGUUUUAUACACGCAUAAUUUUACGAAAUAAGUA
rnacentral:lncRNA from 1 species